CCCAAUCAUCUCUCUAUCCUGUGCGGUUAGACAUUGGAGCAACCAUGGGUGCCUCCGCUGCAGGGGGGUGACGCCCCGCCGCCGACCGUCCGCUGCAGUAGCGGAUCUUCCGCGGGGAGCCGCGUAGAGAGGAGAAGGGCGGAGGAGGGUUGUGUGCCGAAGGCGCCGCCUCCAUCGUGCGUGGAGGCGCAUCCGUGUCGAGGUGCAGUUCCGCGUCGAUGUAAUUUAAAGGAGUGCAUGUUGACACACACUUGUGUCUCUUGCCAUGAACAGUGUCAUGGUGGCUGAUGUUUCUUAGAUUUUGAUUCCUUUUUGCCCGGUGAUGAAAUCAGUCAUGCCGGAGCCGGAGGACUGGAGUCGUGGCGCCGCCGAUCCAUGCUCCAGUGAAACAACGAGGCCACGCUGUUGCCGCAUUGGUAGGGGCGAUCGCUUGUCGGCCUUUGCCCGCUACAAUCUGAUUCCACUCCUGAAGGAGCACGGAUGGGGGCGAGGCCCUCGGUUGUCCCCGUCGGAUGCAGCCUAUACAUUGCUCGAUUGGAGAACAACAAGCGUUGAUAAUGUGUUUAGAGUAGGAACUGAGAGACAUUACAAAAGAUGUAAAGUGAAUCGUUGUCUUUAUUAAUGAUUGAGUACAAGUA